rnacentral:rRNA from 1 species
GAUGAACGCUGGCGGCGUGCCUAAUACAUGCAAGUCGAGCGAAUGGAUUAAGAGCUUGCUCUUAUGAAGUUAGCGGCGGACGGGUGAGUAACACGUGGGUAACCUGCCCAUAAGACUGGGAUAACUCCGGGAAACCGGGGCUAAUACCGGAUAACAUUUUGAACCGCAUGGUUCGAAAUUGAAAGGCGGCUUCGGCUGGAACUUAUGGAUGGAUCCGCGUCGCAUUAGCUAGUUGGUGAGGUAACGGCUCACCAAGGCAACGAUGCGUAGCCGACCUGAGAGGGUGAUCGGCCACACUGGGACUGAGACACGGCCCAGACUCCUACGGGAGGCAGCAGUAGGGAAUCUUCCGCAAUGGACGAAAGUCUGACGGAGCAACGCCGCGUGAGUGAUGAAGGCUUUCGGGUCGUAAAACUCUGUUGUUAGGGAAGAACAAGUGCUAGUUGAAUAAGUUGGCACCUUGACGGUACCUAACCAGAAAGCCACGGCUAACUACGUGCCAGCCGCCGCAGUAA